GAAUCAUUGCCUUGCAAGAGGUUAACUCAACCCCGCCCACAUUACUCCUCUUCUCUCCGUUCCCCAACAAAAUACCCGUUAGCCCUCGCUCUCUCCCGCACUCUCCUCUCACCAGCCACCGCCGGCCCCGCCCUCCUCCCGCUGGCGAUACCCGUCGCCGCCGACGCAGCAGCAACGUCAGCAAAGCUCCUCAGGUGAGGCGCUUUCCUCCCCUCCUCUCCUCCCGCGCCUGCCCUUCCUCGAAACGGUACGAUCUUUUCUCUUUCGUCCUCCAAGAAACGGACAUUGGUGCGCUCUUCUCGAUCACGGACCUCCCUUCCCUUCCUCCCCCGAUGAUCCCUCCCCUGCUGAAGGGCGCGUGAGCCCUCGACGGUUUCGGAUUAUCGAUACCGAUGAAACAGCGGAAAAAGAGCGGUCUUGAUGAUGCACGGGCUGGCCCUGGGCGGGCGCUGAGGGAACGGGAGAAGGGGUCUAAUGUUUCCGUCGCUGGUAGUGGUCCUGUAGAAUCCGGAUCCCCGCAACCUACGUCGGUGAUUUCGAAGAUGGAGAAGAAGGAGCGCAAGAGGAAAUCAUUACCCUCGGCUGAGGCAGGUGUCGGAGUAUUGGAUGAGGACGAGCAGCCGAUUGGUUGUCUUUUCAAGGUCAAGAAGGCAAGGGUUGCGAACAAGGGUAAGCCCGCUUCCCCUGGUGCCAGGGCUGAAAACCCUAGGCAUGACGAGAAGGCGGAGUACGGCGAGAUGGACGAUACAUUAGCCAGUUUCAAGAAGAAGCUGAAGGGUCCAAAGAGGGGUAAAGCUGUUGGUGACGCCGCAUCCAUAGGUGAAAAGAAAUCCCUCCCGUUGGAUGGUUUAGGCUUGUUGGAGAAGGUGGACAACAUGGGAGGUGACAAUGUGCAGUUAGGGCAUCUAGGGAAUCCUGGAAGCAGAAGAUCCAGGCAUGAUUUAACCAUGAAAGAUGGGGCUAAAGGUGUUUCAGGUCUUCGCAGCAGCUCAGACGAUUCUUCAGACGUGAGUUUGGGAGAUUCACUAUCAACUUUUGUCAAAAGGGUUCAUCCGACUAAAAAAACAAAGGCAAAAGAUAGAACUCCGAGUACUGACGAUGAAUUGAUGUGCGGAACUGGCAUGGUUUCCAAAGAUUUGGUUCCAAACCUUGAGAGAUCUCCUCUGUUAAACAGUGGUCUGCCUUCAAUUCCUGAUGGAGCACAAUUGGAACUUGUCACCAAAAGUAGGGGUCCAAAGCCUCAUGGUAUAGUUACAGAGAUGAAGAUCAAUAGUACACCAGAUGGACAUUUGGGUGGGAAAUCUGAUGAUGAAAUGUUGGUGAAAAAACAGACUUCUGCCUCCGGAAAAACUCUCUCUCGCUCAUCUAUGCCUCAAGAAGGUAGGGUACCUACUUCAAAAUCUUCCAAGUUGUCAAGUCAUAGUUCAGGUGGAACUUCCAAACAAUUACCUCGAAAUUCAACUCAUGAGGCUUCUUCUAUUUCUGGCCUUGAAGUUAUGGAAAGUGCAAAAUUUGAUGCUUGUGGUGGUUCUGUUCUGCAUCAUGAGGGAAAUUUUGGUAGUUCUGCACCAUCUUCAUUUCACGCCUUGAGUUCUGAUUCUGUUGAAGCAACGAACGAGAUAACUGUUUUACCAAAACAACAGUCAGAAAAAUGUGUGGGAAAUGACCAUAAGAUGAAUCAAAGUCCUUAUGAAACGUCUGACGAGAAGCUACCUCACCAGUUUACUGAUAAGAUAGCAAGGCAGGGGAAUAGUCUCAAACAUUUCACCAAUGGGAGCGUGACUGUGGGUCUAUCAACUUCUGACCAUCUUUUUUCAAUGAUAUGUAAUGGGACUAGGAUUAGACAGUGUUCUCAUAGAUCAAAUGAAUCAGCAGCUAAGGAUGGAAAUAAACUUUCUGAUGGUACUCAUGGGUUAUCAGUUCAAGGUUCAUGUUCUGAACAUGUGCUUAGGAUGUCAGAAAAAUGCAAGGAACAUUGUAAUGCUUUAAACGAAGUUAUCACUGGGGUUUCUGAAGAAAUUUAUUCUCUCAAAAGGCAGAGGAAGGAAGUUGUAGGGGCUUUACAUAAUGAUGUGUCCAUUGAUUCAUGCGAUAAAAAUUUAAAUGAGGAUAAAAUACUCAACUUAACUUCUGAGGAAGCUUUUGAAAGACCUUAUUAUAAUUGUGAGAAGAUAUCAUCUGCGAAAGAAAGACUGCAUGCAAUAGAACCUGAAGGUCAUGAUGAAUUAUCAAGGCCUUCCUCUGAGAUUUUACCAAACAUCAAUUGCCAAAAGUGUCAGCUACAUAAUGACUGUAGGUUCCAUCACGGAGUCAGUGGCAGCGGAGAAUAUGGUGGAACUUUGCCUUGUUUAUGUUUCUCAAAUUUUGGUGAGAAGGUAGAAAAAAUUGACGCUGUUGUUGUCCAUCCAGAUCAAUCGACAGAUAUUAUGAGAUCUUGUAAUUCACAACUCUUACCUGCCAACAUCUCAUCUGAUGAGAAUCCUCAACCUGAUGAUGUCAUACACCAAUCGUUGAGUGCAAACAUUCAGGGAGUUUCACUGGUAAAUCACAUACUAUAUGAUGCCUCCAAAGAGCCAUCUUCCACCAAGAGUCGAGUUCCUUUUACCAUUGAGGAUCCUGAUGUGGUGAAUUCUGAGACUAGAUUCAAUCAGACAGAAACUCAUCAAACUGAACCAUCUUCAGUAUCCGAGUGUGAUGUAUAUAACCAAUCAACAAUUUCCCGUGUGGUCCGUAAUACAAAAAUACAUAGGCAUGGUGACAUGGCAUACGAGGGAGAUGCUGACUGGGAAGUUCUAAUGCAUGAGCAAGGACCUUUUGCAAACUUGUCUGCCACUAAUGAAGACCAGUCUCUUAGACAAAGAGAUAAGUCAUGUGCACAUUCCUUAGAUGAGGUUUCUUAUGAUGGUUCAGUAGCAGUAGCAACUGGGCUAAAAGCUCAUGCUGUUAGUCCAAUUGAGAAGAUCAAAUUUAGGGACAUCUUAAAGCGUAGAGGUGGUCUUCAAGAAUAUUUGGAUUGCAGGAACUUUAUUCUAGGUUGUUGGAGUAAAGAUGUGAAGCACAUACUUCCUCUUAUGAACUGUGGUGCAACUGAUGCUUCUUCGAAAGAUGAAUCAGCACGUCAAUCCCUCAUUCGUGAGAUCUAUAUGUUUCUUGACCAAAAUGGUUACAUUAAUGCUGGAAUUGCUUCAGAGCAAUGUGUGCCAAAGCCUUCUGUAAAUGUGCAAGUUAAGGAAAAUGCUAAUACAGAACUAGAUUUGUCGCCAGUGGUUCUAAUAUGUGAAAGAGAACCACCCAAAACUUUCAUAGCUGGGGAUCCUGUGUGCUCAGAUUUGGUCUGUAACUUAAGGAGUGGGUAUGACAAAUUUUCUCCAUAUGAUGAAGGGGUGAGGUGCAAUGAUGCUCAGAAAGAAGACAUUGCGGAAACAUUUAUUCCUUCAAUGAUUGAUCCACCAUUUGAUUGUGGAUCAAAGACUGAUGGUUCCUCACAGCACAUAGAGGCUUUUUCUGAUAUGCACAAUGUGACAAACAUGGUGAAAGAAAAUGCUAAGAUUCAUUCCUCUUUUGCACAAUCUUUAGAGGUGAAUAAGAGUACUGAAUCUGGUCUAAACAUUCACAAGAGGAUAAUCAUUGUUGGAGCUGGUCCUGCUGGCUUAACUGCAGCACGUCAUUUGCAUCGCCAAGGCUUUUCCGUAACUGUUCUCGAGGCUCGAGAUAGAGUUGGUGGUCGUGUAUACACAGACCGCUCAUCACUUUCAGUUCCUGUUGAUCUUGGUGCCAGCAUUAUCACUGGUGUAGAGGCUGAUGUUGCAACUGAAAGAAGACCAGAUCCAUCAUCCUUAAUCUGUAACCAGUUGGGUCUUGAGUUAACUGUUUUGAACAGUGAUUGUCCUCUUUAUGAUAUAGUCACAGGUCUUAAAGUUCCAGCUGACUUAGAUGAAGCUCUGGAAGCUGAAUAUAAUAGUCUUCUUGAUGACAUGGUACUUCUUGUUGCACAAAAUGGUGAGGGUGCAAUGGAAAUGUGUCUCGAGGAUGGAUUGGAAUAUGCCAUUAGGAAGCGGCGGAUGUCUAAGGCAACAUCAGAUUCUGUAGAAUUCAAUAAACUAAGUGUGGUUUAUGAUUCAGCAACAGUGGAUGCUUCUGUAAAUUCCUCAGCUUCUAGAUUGACAGAUGGUGCUGACCAUGAUAUUGAAACUAAUAUUUUGAGCCCCCUUGAGCGAAGAGUGAUGGAUUGGCACUUUGCGCAUUUGGAGUAUGGUUGUGCUGCAUCACUUAAGGAAGUAUCACUUCCUCACUGGAAUCAAGAUGAUGUUUAUGGAGGAUUUGGUGGGCCCCACUGUAUGAUUAAAGGGGGUUACAGCACAGUUAUAGAAAGUUUAGGCCUGGGACUUGAUAUUCAAUUAAACAAAAAUGUUACUGAGAUCAUCUAUAACACCAAUGAAAUAAGUGGUGCCGGCCAAGAUGAAAACAAAGUCAAAGUUAUUACAUCGAGUGGUAUGGAAUAUGUAGGGGAUGCAGCCUUGAUCACUGUUCCACUUGGUUGUCUGAAGGCAGAGACAAUUAAGUUUUCUCCUGCCUUACCUGAUUGGAAGCAGACUUCUAUCAAGAGGCUUGGCUUUGGUGUGCUAAAUAAAGUUGUAUUGGAGUUCUCUAAAGCUUUUUGGGAUGAAAACGUAGACUACUUUGGGGCUACUGCAGAAGAAACAGAUAAAAGGGGCCAAUGUUUUAUGUUUUGGAAUGUGAAGAAGACAGUUGGGACACCUGUUCUUAUAGCACUUGUAGUUGGAAAGGCAGCUAGACAAACCUUCAGCAAAUCUGAUCAUGUGAACCAUGCUUUGAUGGUUCUUCGCAAACUUUUUGGUGAAGCUUCUGUACCAGAUCCUAUUGCAUCUGUUGUGACAAAUUGGGGUAUGGACCCAUUCAGUAGGGGUGCUUACUCUUAUGUUGCUGUUGGAGCAUCUGGUGAAGACUAUGAUAUUUUGGGAAGAACAGUUGCAAAUUGUUUAUUUUUUGCUGGUGAAGCAACCUGCAAGGAGCACCCUGAUACUGUUGGUGGUGCCAUGAUGAGUGGUCUUCGAGAAGCAGUACGCAUUAUAGACAUCUUAACUACUGGUAAGGAUUACCUAGCAGAAGUAGAGGCAAUGGAAUCUACACUGAGACAGUCAGAUAGUGAACGAAAUGAAGUAAGAGACAUGUCAAAGCGACUUGAUGCAUGCAAGCUUUCUAGUGGUCUUUGCAAAAGCUCUUCAGAUGGCAAACAUAUAUUGUCCACCAAGGAAUCUUUAUUGCAAGACUUGUUCUUUAGUGCAAAAACUACAUCUGGACGACUACAUCUUGCUAAAGAAUUAUUGCGCCUUCCUGUUGAAUCUCUAAAAUCUUUCACUGGGACCAAAGAAGGACUCAGCACACUCAACACUUGGAUCCUUGAUUCGUUGGGAAAAAAUUCUACUCAGCUCUUGCGACAUUGUGUUCGCCUGCUUGUUCUUGUAUCAACUGAUUUAGUUGCUGUUCGUUUAUCUGGAAUCGGAAGAACCAUUAAAGAUAAGGUAUGUGUGCAUACUAGUCGAGAUAUCCGUUCUGUUGCAAGUCAGCUGGUUGGCAUGUGGAUAGAAGUUUUCCGCAAGGAAAAGGCUGUAAAUGGAUUGAAGCUGCUGAGGCAAGCAACAUGCUCAGAAUCAUCAAAAGUCAGAUCUAAGGAACUCAUAUUAGGAAAGCCACAUCUACGGAUGACUACUGAAACAUCGGAAAAUAAAUGUACUAUUCAAGUUCCUUCAUCUUCUGGAAGCCAUUCACCAUCUAAAGUAAACAUUAAGAAACCUGAGAUCCUGCCCACCAAGUUAGAAUCCUCAGUAUGCAUAAAAUCUGAUGUCAGAUCAUUGCGUUCACAGAGUAUUGUACACACAAAGUCAAAGACAAAGGAUAAUUUAGUUGUAUCUGAAGAAGCUGCAACCUUUGCUGCCGUAGAAUCUGCACGUGCCGCUGCUCUUAAAGCUGUAGAGGCAUAUGCAACUUCAGAAGCAGAGGUGCCAUUGCGUGAGCUUCCCAAGAUACCAUCUUUUCAUAAAUUUGCGAGACGUGAACACUGUGUGCAGUUGGAUGAAUUUGAUGUAAGAAGGAAGUGGUCUGAUGGCAAUUUUGGACGGCAAGAUUGUGUAUCAGAAAUAGAUUCAAGAAACUGCAGGGUUAGAAAUUGGUCUAUUGAUGUCAGUGCUGCUUGUCUUGACAAUUCAAAAAUGUCCGGUGAUAACUAUACUCAGUGCAGCUAUUCAAAUGAAGUACCAUAUACUUCAAGUCUAAGGGAACAUUCUGGAGAAAGUGGAGCAGUGGAUAGUAGAUUGACCAAAGCUUGGAUUGAUACAGAUGCUGUUGGUAGUGGAGGUGUUAAGGAUUCUCUUGCCAUUGAGAGGUGGCAGUUACAAGCAAUGGAUGCAGAUGCUGAUUUUUAUAGCAGCAUUCAUAUAAGAGAUGAAGAAGACUCCAAUAACUUAGUCUUACCAGCUUUAAGGAACCAAUGUCAGACUGGGGCAGAUGCUGCCUUACAAGUAGCAGAAAACAAAUCAUCUCUAGAGCAUCAGCAAAGAGGAGUGAACUAUAUUAAACAAGGUGUUGUGGAUUAUGUAGCUUCCCUACUGAUGCCUCUGUACAGAACUAGGAAGAUUGACAGAGAAGGUUAUAAAUCAAUAAUGAAGAGAACUGCAACCAAGGUUGUGGAACAAUGUACAGAAGAAGAAAAAAGAUUGGCUAUUUAUGACUUUCUUGAUUUUAGACGGAAGAACAAGAUUAGAUCUUUUGUGGACAAGUUGAUUGAGAGGCACAUGGCUAUGAAUCAAAGUGUGAAGUCGUGAUGUUUCCAAGUGAUGUAACAAAAGCUGGCAUUUUCUUCUCCUAUGGAAGAUGGACAUCCUUCAAGACCUUAUAACCUAUCACCAGGAAGCUGGGUAAAUGAUGAGUUGAUGGGCUGGUGAAUUUGGAUCACACUCUCGGGUGAGGCGCAACAACAAGUUCCAGAAAUCCAGGUAAAUUAUGAGUUAAUGAGCUGGUUUAAUCGGACCACACUCUCUCGUGAGACGCUACAAUGAGUUCCAGGGCAUGCCCUCUGAACUGUACAACAAGAAAAACUGUAAAGUCCCACCUAUUUGAGUGCCUUUGCCCAUUGGGUAAGACUCUUUACUUGUUUUAUCACAUGUAGUCCGUCAUGGACAUUGAGCACAUAGAGAUCCUUGCAGCUGUCAAUGAAGAAGAAGGCUUAGUCUGGCUCAAAUCAAGUUUUCUGGAGGGAAGAUGCUUGGAACGAGUUAUUGUAUUAAUCCUAUUUGCUUACUCUGUAUGCAUCAAAUUGUGAACGCUGUUGUUCCAUUCACUUUGUCAGUUACAAUUAGACUUCGAUCUUGAACACCAACCAUCCUGAGAUUGAGGAAUCAAAGGCUAUAAUGCACCAAAGAGAACAUGACAGCGCCGAUCCACAAGGGUUAAACAUCAUUUACAGACAAAACAUGACAACUUUGGAAGCCUAUCGGUGGAUGAAGAAGACGUGGCUUAGCUGCUUCAGAAAAGAUGAACGACACAAGAUACCCAAGUGUCCCCUUCAUUUCCCCCUCCCCCUCUGCCACAGGCCCGACCAGCACCCUAAAGUCUUCAUCUCUCUGUCCUGCAAAGCAAAAAAGAAAGGGAGAAACAUGAAGAAUGUGAUCUAGCUUUUCAAAAGAACAAUUGCUCAGUGUCAUUAUCAAGCUGCGUUGGGCAUCGAAUCUGUGAAUUUUAGCUGACUUUUUUCUUCAAUGGUUUGUUCUCUCUUGGCUGGAUGCCCCCCCUGGAGAACGAGAGAUAACGCAACUGGUCGCCCUCCAAAUGCUCUUUGGAUGAUUAGAACUGUAUCUUUUCUGAGAUUAUUUUGGCGACCAAUUCUCCAUUGCAGUCAAGAAAACAAGGCUUCGUUUCGUUUCA